rnacentral:rRNA from 1 species
CGAUGCGGACAGACUCGCAGCGAAACGUUAGUUAGCCUCUGGAGGCGCAGAGGCGCCGACCCCGUCAGCGUCCGCCGGAAGCCCGUGACGGAAGCAGGGGGGAAGGCGCCUGGCGGGCCCCACGGGCCACGCCGCACACCACGGACGGACCCUUGGCGUGGGAGGACGGGCACUCGAGAGUGCGAGGGAGACGGUUUCCCAGGGGCUGGGGCCAGCCCCUCCCCGUGGAGGGGCAGCUCGGGCGUGCUCGCCCGCGCCGACGGCCACCUGCAAGUGGGCAGAGGCGCGACUGGCGCAGUGAGCACGUGAGUUCCCGGGCUGCCUGCCCCUGGCGAGGUCGCCCACCGAGCCCCCCAACGGUGCCCAGCUCUCCCGACGGCCGGAGAGGCCUCGAACGGCGGUGAGCGGCGCAGGACCCCUUUUUGGUGUGGCGCCGCGUGCACUCGGAGGGAGCCCUCGGUGUUUACG